rnacentral:rRNA from 1 species
GAGUUUGAUCUUGGCUCAGAUUGAACGCUGGCGGCAUGCCUUACACAUGCAAGUCGAACGGCAGCACGGGAGCUUGCUCCUGGUGGCGAGUGGCGAACGGGUGAGUAAUGCAUCGGAACGUAUCCUGGAGUGGGGGAUAACGUAGCGAAAGUUACGCUAAUACCGCAUAUUCUGUGAGCAGGAAAGCGGGGGACCUUCGGGCCUCGCGCUCUUGGAGCGGCCGAUGUCGGGAUUAGCUAGUUGGUGAGGUAAAGGCUCACCAAGGCGACGAUCCGUAGCAGGUCUGAGAGGAUGAUCUGCCACACUGGAACUGAGACACGGUCCAGACUCCUACGGGAGGCAGCAGUGGGGAAUUUUGGACAAUGGGGGCAACCCUGAUCCAGCCAUGCCGCGUGAGUGAAGAAGGCCUCGGUUGUAA